CUACGACCGUCAGGGCGCCACCUACCUCUUUGACCUGGACUACGUGGAGGACGUGUACACCGUGGAUGCCGCCUACUAUGGCAACAUCUCCCACUUUGUCAACCACAGUGUGGGUACCCCCGGCAGGCGGGCAAGGGGUCGAGAGGGGCAGGCUGGGGCCCCUCCUCACUCUCCCAACUGUUCUUUCUCGCCCAGUGUGACCCCAACCUGCAGGUGUACAACGUCUUCAUAGACAACCUUGACGAGCGGCUGCCCCGCAUCGCUUUCUUUGCCACAAGAACCAUCCGGGCAGGCGAGGAGCUCACCUUUGAUUACAACAUGCAAGUGGACCCCGUGGACAUGGAGAGCACCCGCAUGGACUCCAACUUUGGCCUGGCUGGGCUCCCUGGCUCCCCUAAGAAGCGGGUCCGUAUUGAAUGCAAGUGUGGGACUGAGUCCUGCCGCAAAUACCUCUUCUAGCCCUUAGAAGUCUGAGGCCAGACUGACUGAGGGGGCCUGAAGCUACAUGCACCUCCCCCACCGCUGCCCUCCUGUCGAGAAUGACUGCCAGGGCCUCGCCUGCCUCCACCUGCCCCCACCUGCUCCUACCUGCUCUACGUUCAGGGCUGUGGCCAUGGUGAGGACCGACUCCAGGAGUCCCCUUUCCCUGUCCCAGCCCCAUCUGUGGGUUGCACUUACAAACCCCCACCCACCUUCAGAAAUAGUUUUUCAACAUCAAGACUCUCUGUCGUUGGGAUUCAUGGCCU
rnacentral:sRNA from 1 species